rnacentral:rRNA from 1 species
AGAGUUUGAUCAUGGCUCAGGACGAACGCUGGCGGCGUGCCUAAUACAUGCAAGUCGAGCGAAUCGAUGGGAGCUUGCUCCCAUUGAUUAGCGGCGGACGGGUGAGUAACACGUGGGUAACCUGCCUGUAAGACUGGGAUAACUUCGGGAAACCGGAGCUAAUACCGGAUAGUUUCUUUUCUCGCAUGAGAGAAGAUGGAAAGAUGGUUUCGGCUAUCACUUACAGAUGGACCCGCGGCGCAUUAGCUAGUUGGUGAGGUAAUGGCUCACCAAGGCAACGAUGCGUAGCCGACCUGAGAGGGUGAUCGGCCACACUGGGACUGAGACACGGCCCAGACUCCUACGGGAGGCAGCAGUAGGGAAUCUUCCGCAAUGGACGAAAGUCUGACGGAGCAACGCCGCGUGAACGAAGAAGGCCUUCGGGUCGUAAAGUUCUGUUGUUAGGGAAGAACAAGUACGAGAGUAACUGCUCGUACCUUGACGGUACCUAACCAGAAAGCCACGGCUAACUACGUGCCAGCAGCCGCGGUA